rnacentral:rRNA from 1 species
GAUGAACGCUGGCGGCGUGCCUAAUACAUGCCAGUCGAGCGAACAGACGAGGAGCUUGCUCCUCUGACGUUAGCGGCGGACGGGUGAGUAACACGUGGAUAACCUACCUAUAAGACUGGGAUAACUUCGGGAAACCGGAGCUAAUACCGGAUAAUAUAUUGAACCGCAUGGUUCAAUAGUGAAAGACGGUUUUGCUGUCACUUAUAGAUGGAUCCGCGCCGCAUUAGCUAGUUGGUAAGGUAACGGCUUACCAAGGCGACGAUGCUUAGCCGACCUGAGAGGGUGGUCGGCCACACUGGAACUGAGACACGGUCCAGACUCCUACGGGAGGCAGCAGUAGGGAAUCUUCCGCAAUGGGCGAAAGCCUGACGGAGCAACGCCGCGUGAGUGAAGAAGGUCUUCGGAUCGUAAAACUCUGUUAUUAGGGAAGAACAAAUGUGUAAGUAACUAUGCACGUCUUGACGGUACCUAAUCAGAAAGCCACGGCUAACUACGUG